AGCUACUAGAUAGUUCGAUUAGUCUUUCGCCCUAUGCCCAAAUUUGACGAUCGAUUUGCACGUCAGAACCGCUGCGAGCUCCACCAGAGUUUCCUCUGGCUUCACCCUAUUCAAGCAUAGUUCACCAUCUUUCGGGUCCCAACAGCUAUGCUCUUACUCAAAUCCAUCCGAAGACAUCAGGAUCGGUCGAUGGUGCACCCCGAAAGGUUCCCACCUCCGUUCACUUUCAUUACGCGCUCGGGCUUGACACCCAAACACUCGCAUAGAUGUUAGACUCCUUGGUCCGUGUUUCAAGACGGGCCGCUUACAGCCAUUACGCCAGCAUCCUAGCAGAUGCGCGGACCUCAGUCCAGGCUGGUUGCAUGUCGUCUCCCCUAUAAGUUCUCCCCGAAGAGAGGUACAUGACAGAGACCUUUAUCCAACCGCCCAAACUGAUGCUGGCCUGCCUAUAGAAGAGUGCACCGGGUAAAAACCCGGAUGAGCAACUACAGGCAAGUCUGGCUGCAAGCGCUUCCCUUUCAACAAUUUCACGUGCUUUUUAACUCUCUUUCCAAAGUGCUUUUCAUCUUUCGAUCACUCUACUUGUGCGCUAUCGGUCUCUGGCCAGUAUUUAGCUUUAGAAGAAAUUUACCUCCCAUUUAGAGCUGCAUUCCCAAACAACUCGACUCGUCGAAGGGGCUUUACACGGUAAAGGCUAGCGACCACGUACGGGAUUCUCACCCUCUGUGACGUCCUGUUCCAAGGAACUUGGACCGCUGCCAAUGCCAAAGCGCCCUCUGCAAAUUACAACUCGGACGCCAAAGACGCCAGAUUUCAAAUUUGAGCUGUUGCCGCUUCACUCGCCGUUACUAGGGCAAUCCCUGUUGGUUUCUUUUCCUCCGCUUAUUGAUA
rnacentral:rRNA from 1 species